rnacentral:rRNA from 1 species
AUUGAACGCUGGCGGCAUGCUUUACACAUGCAAGUCGAACGGUAACAGGCCGCAAGGUGCUGACGAGUGGCGAACGGGUGAGUAAUGCAUCGGAACGUGCCCAGUCGUGGGGGAUAACUACUCGAAAGAGUAGCUAAUACCGCAUACGAUCUAUGGAUGAAAGCGGGGGACCGUAAGGCCUCGCGCGAUUGGAGCGGCCGAUGUCAGAUUAGGUAGUUGGUGGGGUAAAGGCUCACCAAGCCAACGAUCUGUAGCUGGUCUGAGAGGACAACCAGCCACACUGGGAGUGAGACACGGCCCAGACUCCUACGGGAGGCAGCAGUGGGGAAUUUUGGACAAUGGGCGCAAGCCUGAUCCAGCAAUGCCGCGUGCAGGAAGAAGGCCUUCGGGUUGUAAACUGCUUUUGUACGGAACGAAACGGCUCUGGUUAAUACCCGGGGCUAAUGACGGUACCGUAAGAAUAAGCACCGGCUAACUACGUG